rnacentral:rRNA from 1 species
GCGACCCCAGGAUGGGCGAGGCCACCCGCCGAGUUUAAGCAUAUCAAUAAGCGGA